GAGCGCACUCUUUUAGAGUGAGCGGCAAACGGGUGAGUAACGCGUGGGAAUCUACCCCUCUCUACGGAAUAACACAGAGAAAUUUGUGCUAAUACCGUAUACGUCCUAUUGGAGAAAGAUUUAUCGGAGAUGGAUGAGCCCGCGUUGGAUUAGCUAGUUGGUGAGGUAACGGCUCACCAAGGCGACGAUCCAUAGCUGGUCUGAGAGGAUGAUCAGCCACACUGGGACUGAGACACGGCCCAGACUCCUACGGGAGGCAGCAGUGGGGAAUAUUGGACAAUGGGGGCAACCCUGAUCCAGCCAUGCCGCGUGAGUGAUGAA
rnacentral:rRNA from 1 species